ACCUAUUCCUUUUAGCACCUUGGCUGC
rnacentral:piRNA from 1 species